GGAAUUCAAGGAGGUAACCUGGGAGGUGGACUGAGUCCUACACAAGUCCCAAGCCUUCCUUUCCCAUGGCUUCCCUCCUGUUUUCCAAGGACACCUGUUUCUACUGGGGCGGCCAGCAUGACCAGGUUCCACAGGGUAGCAAAAUGGCCAUCAGCUCAGGCGUACACCCCCAAGGAUCAGCAGAAGAGAGAGUGCUCCUUGUUCUGGCUGCAUGCCCCAUGUGGACACUGAGGGACUCUGCCCCGCACAGACACUUAGGGAUCCAGGUGGCUGACGUGCCCCCUCUUGCAGCUGCACCAUCUACACAGGCACAUCUUGCACUUCGCAUGUCGGGGGAGGAGAGAGACUGUGGAACCGUGUGGACUUUUCACCAUCUCCAUUGGAAGCGACAGACUUCCUUUCCAUUCAUAUUUCACUGGCUAGAACUAGUCACAGCCCAGCCUCACAGGAAGAGGGUGGGAAACAAAGGGAUGCACAUGGAAUGUUUGGAAAGAAUUACUAUUGCUGCCACAGCCACUCACUGGCUGUGUGUCUACAGGCAAAUUACUUAACCUCCCUGUGUCCCAGUUCCCUUACCCAUUAACUGAGGAUUGCAGUUACUCCUUUUUCACUGGGGACAGUAUCAGCAGUAUCAGGAUUAAAUCAGUUUCUACAAUGUGUCUCAGAAAAGUGCCUGACACAUAGAAAUACUCAAUAAGGGUUAAAUAGAAACAACACCCCCUCUCCUUAGGGUCUCCUCUGUACAAAUGAUCUCCCCCUCCACCAAAAGACUGAGGUCAAACAGCAUUCAGUAAUGUUCCAGUCUAGGAUAAGAACUCGGGACUGAGUACUUUGUGAUGAGUAGUUUAAUAUCUUUGAACCUCAAUUUCAUCUUCUGUUAAAACAGAUUCCCACUUACUUGUGAGGGCUUAGAUGAGAGUCCAGUAAGAAAAUAGUUAAAGAAGUUUUUCCUACAUUAAACUUAUUUGGCUACCACACUGGUAAAAAUGACCUACACAUUUUACAGAUUUGCAUCAAGGUGGAAACCAAAAAAGGAUUCUUGCAGCCCAUCCCCAUUAAGAGGCAAACUGGACACCAUGACCACCAGCCUCAUCCCCAGUCCCUGUCCUGACUUCUCCAGCUCUGCCCACAACCCCUCAUCGGAGUGAGGUUUGUGUUUACACAGAUGGUCUUUCCCAACCAAAGAGGGGUGGAAGAGGCGCAGGCCCGUGAUGGUGGUGGUCCACAAGUUUCACUCAUUUGGCCUUCCAUUCAUUCUUUCGUUUAGUAAACAGUUACUGAUGGCCUACCGUGUGCCAGGCCUGCACAAGUUGCUGGAAUUCAGAGGUGGACAAGCGAGACCUGUCUAAGUUGGGGGGUGGCGCAGAGACAACAAACAAGCAAACUGUAAAUAGCUUUGGAACCUGAUAUGUCCUAGAAAGAAAAAUAAAGCAGGGCAAUGGCGAGAGAGGGAAGGAGGCAGGCCACAUGGGACAGAGUGGUCCAGAAAGCUUCGAAGAGGUGCCUCUGGGGUUAGGCUGCGGAACACUAGAAGAAUUCAGCCCUGCAGCACCCUCGGAAAAGCGUCCUGCAGAUACCCCAGGAAGGAAUGAGGAGGCUGGGGUGCUGGGAGGUUUGUGAGGAGGGCAAGGCGGAGAUCAGGAGGUGGGAGGGAUGGUCAGGGGCCAGACCUUAGUGCCUCCCUUUCUCCCCUUGCAGGAACUGAUGAGUAGGAGCAUGUUCUCCCCCUCCAGGAAGCUCAGGCCCUCCCAUUCCUCAGUGGUCCAGUUUCACCAGUUACUCCAGCUCCCUGGGGCAACAGGCUAUGAUGGGAGGGAGAUAAGUGGCAGUUGUGACAUGCUUUCUCUUUGUCCUUGAGGAGCUGGGAAGAUAGAACCUAUAUGGACCGCACUAGAGGGAGGGCAAUACAGACUGUGGACGAGCACCAGGGGGAUGCUGAGGGGCAGUACCGGGCAGUGUGGAGGACCACAGAGGCCAGAGGGCUGGGCAUCAGGGAAUGGCUAGAGCUUAUUAGCCUUGGUGGGAGUAAGAACUAGAUGGAAAGCAGGGGAUGGGGAGACAUUCCAAGUAGGAGGAACACAGAGCAAAGGAGUCCUCGUGGGAAGGAAAGGAUUAGAGGAUGGUCAUGCUCAAAUCAGUUUGACUGGAUUCCAGGGUUGGAAGAGAAGCUUGUAAAAGUGAGGACACCUAGCCAACAGAAAGGUAGCCAGGGUAGUGGUACAGAGCGUUUUAGCCACAAAUGCUCAAAGACAGGAAGGAGGACUUUAGAGCUACACUGGUCAGAUUCAAGUUUGGGUUCUGUCACUUACUAAUGAUAUGACCUCAGACAAAUUUACUUCUCUAGGCCUCUGUUUCCCCAUCUUCAUAACAGGAAUAAGAGUACAAACCUCAUUUUAUAUGGCUUAAAUGAGUCCAUAUUUGCAAAGCACUUAGAACGCACAGUACAUGGUCCAGAGUGAGUGUGAUAAUAGGUACUGGUUAAGUUAAUGGAUGCUGGUGAGCUAGUGAGACCCCUCCCUGAAGGCGACAGGAGGCUCUCAGGUGUUCAGGGCAGGACCAGGCAUGGAUGAAGAAGGUGCUCUACCCUGAUUCAUUCAGCAUCCCCAUGCAGGCUGGAGGGUCUGGAAGCAGGAAGGCUCGUUAGGAGCCUGCUGUAAUAGUCCAGCCAUGAGGUGAUGGGUGCCUGGUGAGGGUCUGCAGGUGAGGUUAGCGGGGAGGGAUGCAAAGGCAGGCCUGGUGGAAGAAAUGCUCAUCUGACACCUGGUGACUACAGACUGGAUAUGGGCAGUGGAAACUGGGGGCCUGGGCCUGGGUGAUGGGGUGGACACCGGGCUCUGGCCAGAGAGGGGAGCCGGAAAAGCCAUCUGUCUGGAGGAAGAUGGUACAGUCAUGUGAAGACAUGUUGCCUUGGAGGCAACGGCCUGCCCACAGUGUUCUGGGCGCCUCUCAUCUGCUGGGUCUGAGGAAAGGAAUCCUGUGGGGUUGGAUUCUGGCUCCUGGAGAGACAUGAGAAUGAGGGUGUCAGCCUGGGCCUCUGCACAUCUGCAUGUGUUGGGAGGAGGGUGGAUAGGCUGGGAAAAGGCAGUAAAUAAUGAAUGAGGCUGAGCCCACACAUUCUCUGUGCAUGAUAUGGAAAGGGCAAUAUGGAAGGAAGGCCCUGCCUGUGCUCACACUCCCAGACACUGGGUAACUGCUGAGUAUCUAUGCCCUUUGUGGGGAGGGGAGCUCAGAGUCUCACAGCCCAGCCCCACACUGACCCCCCUCAUCCUUGUCCCCACCUGGAUUAGGGUCGUAGCUGGGGUUCAGGGAUAGUGGUUGGGAGUGAUAGCAUUUUUAUUGGUUUCCAUGAACAAGUAUUGACUGGGAUCCAGUGAUUACUCACCUGCUUCAGGAUCCAGUGAGUAUAAGAGGCAAGCUAUCCAUAAAGCAAUGGAUUUUCUGAGCAUCUGCUGUGUUCAAGGCUCCAAAUAAGGUGAAGGGCCCAAAGUAAAAUGAAUUCCUUGGUUCCAGAAACCACAUGAGCCUAGGCUUUUGUUUUCCCAUUUUUAAUUAUCGAUGACCACAGCUUCAAUGCAGAUAUCAGAGAACCGCACCCUGCUUUCAGUUAUAAAAUCUAGGAGUAGCCUGUCUUUUAAAUGUAGUUAUUCCCUCCAGUCUUCCCUACAAAGAAUUCUUAGUUAUUUGAUAAGUGUAUUCGUGAAAUUUUCUUGGGAUUCAGUCAGUUUUUAUCAGCUUCUCAAAAUUUUUUUCCUAAAGAAACACUUUUUUAUUUCAGAAAAGAAUCAAGAAUAAAAUUAAAAAUGAUCCAACACCAGCUCUCAGAUGACCCCUUGCUUCUGCUUUUUAAAUGCAUUUGGAAAAUAGUUCAAAUGCUAUAGAAAGACACAAAACAAGAAGUAAAAUUCUCUCAUUGCUCCCUCUCCCAUGCCAAUUUCUCUUCCUAAAGGUUGGCACUAUUAAUGGUUUCUUACGUAUCACUCCGGAAAAUGUUUAACACAUUUAUCAGCAUUAUACAUGUAUUAUGUAUAUCCUAUUCUUAGAAGGUGCUUGCAGAAGUUAAGAACGGUUGCUCUCUCUGCCUUUGAUAGUCCAUUUUUAUGUUUUUUUUUCUGUCCUGUCAUAUCUACGUUUAAAAAAUAACAGUCAAGGGAACUGGGUUUCUUAGGCUCAUCUACCUUGGACUAGCUGGGUGACAUCAGCAAGUUACUGUACCUCUCUGAGCUUCAGUUUCCUCAUCACUAAAAUGGGGGUUCUUGGGGGGCUUCAAUGGCAGCGUGAAUGCAGAAGGCCUGGCUCAUCAGCAGUCCCUUAGCCCUCUUUGCAAGGAGGCAGGCUGCCAGUUCUAAAUAAAUGUUACAGAAGGACCAGUCAGCAGUUGUCCCUCAGAAUGACCUGUCACUUCGUUUCCCGGAUGCAGGAAAAAGAGCGUGGGAGUGUCCUGGCGGGAGAUGACAGGGUCACAUGAAUUCCUCACCCUCUGUGUUGGCUCCCACCCCAGGUGCUCAAUCGAUCUGGACUCUGGGAGGCUGGUCCCAUCUGUCCUUGGCUGGGAAGGAAUCCCUGUUAACCGUUGAAACAGUCCCCUGAUAUAUGGCUCUUGUCACCCUCCCCCUCUUUUUCUCUGAUCUCAAGUUUUAAGACCUCUGUGAUGCCUGCAUCAGGGACAAACAGCUCACAGGAAAAGUCUUCAGCAUCCUCCAGGGUCCAGAAGGCGACUUGGCCAUUUUCAGCAAAGCUGUGUAUAACCCCAGCAAGUUAGAAGGGAGAGCAAGAUUCCAGCCCAAGGAGGUGGAGCCAUGGUGAUGGCAAAUGACAGCAGAGAGUGGAUGAAGGCCAUUUGUGGCAUGCCAGGAAGUGUCUACCCCACUGCCGGGCCCUUGCAGGUACUGCUUGCUUGGUCCUCCCAACGGCAUUCCCACUUUACAGAUGGGGACGCUGAGGCUCAGAGAAUUGAGCCAACUUGCUAUUAUGUGACAGGGAGGCCAAGCUAGGACUUGACUCUGACAACAGAGUUCAGAGCUUAUGUUCUGCCCCAACACAGCACAGGUGGGUGUAAGGGAAAGGGACCAAACAGGGCCCCAGAACUCAAGGCCACAAAGUGGCUGCCCACACACAGACAUGUUUCUCUCAGGGUCUGCUUUUAUCAGUCCUGUUCUCUGUAUCAGUGUCUAGAACAGUGGCUGGCACAUAGUAGGUGCUUGGAAAAACUGUGAAAUGGAAAAAAGAAUAUCUGAUGGCUAACUAGACAAGCCCAUUCCAUACUCCGUAUCUGGUACUCCCUAAACUUGUCUCAGGGCCUGUGAAAAAUGGUAUGGGUAUAACACUGAACUACCAACCAGAUUUUGGAAAGGGGCCCGGGCCCCACCCUAUUCAAUAGCUCCCUUGGCAGAUCUCGUGGGAGACAGGAAAAAGCAGCACCCAGCCAGGAGUGGGAAGGUGUCGGGCCCGUGCUUCUCUGUAACAUGUAGUGGAGGCCAGGAGGUUGCCGGAGGUCCUUGGCCUCCUGCUGACAUCUCUGACUGCCCGGAAUCUGUGGCCUGUGGUCCUGGCAGGGAGGCACUGAUGAGAGAAAUGGGGGACGACUGGGACCUGAGCAACAGGGCACCUGUGACAGGUCGCACUGCAGCUCUAGCUGGCCUCUUGGGGCUGGGGGAGGGAGGAAGUACUGGGCUGAAGGUCACAGUGGGGUCAGCCUUGCUUCUAUCCUGCCGAGGGGCAGUGCCAGUGAUGAGGGAGCCAGGUGUCUGGCUCAAUCUGUGAGGAGCAUAUGUUAAUAGCAGUAAGAGCAAUAAUUGGACACAGGUGCCUUCCAUGUAAUUUUCUCAUCUUUCACAACAAACCUAGGAGCUAAGUACUAUUUUAUCUUCAUUGAGCAGAAGAGAAAAUGGAGGUACUGAAAGGUUAGGUUGUAAGUGGGAUUUGAGCCAUGGAGCCUGGCUCCUGAGCCCUUGUGUGACCACAGGGACCCACUGCCAUUAUCAAGGCCAGCCUUCCCUUCAGGGCUUUUUUCUCCAGCCUCUAAGAAAGACCCUACAAGCUUCAGGCCCUGUCUGCCUCCACCUUCCAGGUAAACCUCUGUCAUCUCUGAACAACCGGGAAAAGCAGAGAAGGCUGGCUCUGGGGUAGGGGCAGGGGCAGGACAGAUGUCAGGAGAGCCAGCAGAGGAUUGGCCAGAUGGACGACUGGACGAAGGGCAUCUGGGUGGAGCACAGAGGGUGCAGAGGCACCGAGACACAAGGUGUAUUUCCUGGAGUGCAGUUCAAUCAGGUGGAGAGUGGGUUGUACAGGUGGGGGGAUUUGAAUGAUAAAACUGCUCACACACAGAGCAUCAGGGCUUCAACACCCACCUGGGAUUGGGGGAGAGAAGGGAAGAAGACUGGGCCUGGUGAUUUAGAUCCCGGGUUUUGUGGACGAUAAGGCCAGGCCUUGGGAUAUGUGCCCACUCUGCCCCGCACCCUCCCAGAACAGCCCUGGGAGACAGGACUGCUGUUCCUUCUCUCCAGGCUUCAUUGUUAAAGACUUGCAGUUUCUUAGGAGCCCUGAGCUUCAGGUAAGAAAUCCUCUGCUGGGAGGGCCAUGUGGGGAAGCCACAUGAAGGAGUGGCCCUGAUCGAGGGGAGAGAAGCAGCCAGCCCAGGUCUCAGCCGGCCCCCCCAGCCAGCCAGCGGCAGCCACACAUGGAGUCCCAGCAAGAUGAGUAGAGGAACCGCCCCAGCUGAUGCCCCUCAGAGCAGAGAGCAGCCAACUCCUUCAGGCCCUGUGCAUGCUGCAGAAUACUAAACGAAUAAAUGACUGUUGUUUUAAGCCCCUGAGUUUUGGGGUGCCCUGUGACAUACAACAGAUAUUUGAAACAGAAAUU